rnacentral:RNase_P_RNA from 1 species
ANNGUUCGCCAGGCAGUCGCUGCGCACCUCGUCGUGCGUGGAGGAAAGUCCGGGCCCCGCAGAGCAGGAUGCCGGCUAACGGCCGGGCGCCGUGAGGCGACGGAAAGUGCCACAGAGAACAGACCGCCGAUGGCCCGUUUCUACGGGAUCAGGCAAGGGUGAAACGGUGGGGUAAGAGCCCACCGCGGUCCGGGUAACCGGACCGGCACGGUAAACCCCAUCCGGAGCAAGGCCGAAUAGGGAAGCAACGGCGUGGCUCGCGCCGCUUCCGGGUUGGCCGCUCGAGCCUGGCGGUGACGUCAGGCCUAGAGGAAUGACUGCCCCAGGCGGUGUUGCCGCCUGCGACAGAACCCGGCUUACUGGCGGGCUUCCACU